AGACACAGUCACCUGUAGUAGAAAGGGCAUGAACUUGGGACUAGGGGUCAGUUGGAAUCACAGCUGUGCAGCUCAAAACUGGGAAUCUUGGUGCAAGUGACAUCUCACAAAGUUUAUCUGACGUGUGCCUUGGCAUGAUGACAGUGGCACUGUGAGGUUCUCUACACCAGUCCUCCAGACGUAUAUAAGGCCAGUGCCUUAAUCCUCUGCCAGCCUCCCCAUGACCCCACAAUUUGUUGCUCCAGAAGCGGAUCCUGGACUGGGUCUUUAGCUCAGUGGUUUCGCCACCUGCUGUGCAAGUGCAAGGACCUGAGUUCAAUCCCCGGGUACCAAAAACAAAAAACAAAACAAAACAAAAAAACCCAGAAGCCGAUCUUUAUUAAUAGGCAUUAUUCUAAUUCUGCCUUUUAUCCCCAUCAGUCAAUAAAUAUAAUGUUCAAUCAAUUAUGUGCUCUACUCUCUGCCAAUUCUGUCCUGAAGGCCUUACAUUUGGUCCUCAUGACAUCACAAUGAAGGCUACUAAUGUGUCCAUUUCAUAAGUAAGCUGGGUCCCAGAGGGGCUUAAUAACUUAUCUAAAGACUCACAGCUAAGUGGUAAGAGCAGGAUCAGGAUUCGAAUCCAGAUUGGCCUGCUUCCCAAGCCUGUGCUCUUCAGUGCUGAUGUUGUUAUUCUGCUUUCCUGUUCAGGACCAGUGUGACUUUUCAAGGACAACUACCAUUGGCUGAGUCCCCAUCUCAUGUGAAGUUCUUUGUAAGACUUGUGGGAAAACCAAAGUCCUGGUCUGCACGUAAGGGAGACAAAAAAAGGAGACUUCUUCUAUCCCUUGGGACUAUCCAUACCCACUUUCACGGACUGAGGCUUUGCAUGUGCCAGGCCCAGGACUCUGCUUCAUGGUAGCUUCUCCUUCAAUCUUCACAAAAGCUCUGUGGGGUUGCCAUCCCCACUUUCUUGGCUGAGGAAACUGAGGUUUAGAGAAACUGAGCAAACGGAUCAAAGUCACAGGGGGAGGGAAGCAGCCUGCCACACAUAUGCAGCCUGCCUGUUAGGAACCCGUUGGCUCCAUCUGGCUCAGAGAAGUUCCUCAAUAAAUAGCUGUUGUCUGAGUGGAUGGGAAGAGGCCAGGGGAGAGAGUUAGAGUUGGAUCCCUAUGAGAUGGAAUCAGGGCUCAGGGACCCCAACGUCACACAGCUGGCAAGCAGCUGAGCUGCAACCUUAAAGUAGGCCUCCUAUGGCUCCACCACCAUGCUAGGCUUCAGCAAGGGUGCCCUGGAGCCCUAGCAGCAGAUGCAGGGGACUCUUCCAGGAUCCAGGGAAGACUGCAAAGUAAAGGCAUCAUUCACCAUUUUCUAAGCACCCACUAUAUGCCAGUGCCUGUGACCAGCCCUGGGAUUUAAGAGAUGAUAGGUACACUGCCUGCAUCAAGGAGUUUAUAUUCUGGUAUACUGCGUGUGUAUAUGUGGGUGUGUGUGUGGGGGGGGAUCUUAUGGGCUGAGCUAUAGUGAAAUAUUCUCCCUGCAUCAUGCUAAAAAAAAAGUGAGAAAUCUGGGAAAGUCAUCUUGACAACAGUCUGGGUGUAACUGUGUUCAAAUACAUAAAUGCGUGUGUAUCUUUUUUUUUUUUUGGUACCGGGGAUCGAACUCAGGACCUUGCGCUUUUGAGGCAGGCAGCAGAACCACUGAGCUAAAUCCCCAGCCCAACAUGUGUAUCUUUUUAACAUAGUAAGAGCUUAUUAAUAUCUAAAAAAUAUACAUAUAUGUCUGUAUGAGAGGCUAUAAUGUAAUAACUAAAUAAUUUUUAAGGAAUUUUUAUUGACAUGGGGAAAUUCUCCUGAUAUAUUUCAAAGGUGAAAAAAUAGGCUACAAUACUGAUGGGCAGGAUGACCUCAAUUACUAUUUUUCAUUUUUCAUUUAUUUAUUUAUUUUUGGG